ensembl:lncRNA
AAAACUCCUAUCUUCCCCACCCUUCUUCCCAAGGUGCUUCUGUUCAGGGAGGUGGAGUUGAUUGUGUCCCAUGGGACGUGGAUUUGGGGAAGAGGAGUCUCUACAGAUGAUUCCUUGCUCCAUGAGGAUUCAGCAAAGAAAGGCAGGAACCCCAGUCUUGAAUGCAAAGUGGUGAGCAGGGAGGCAUUCUCCUUGAGGUCUGGAACAGGAGAACAGAGACGGGGAGGAUCAGUGGCUAGUUUCCCAUCGACGCAGUGGCUGAUUCGGCUCAGACCCGCUGUGCAGGCACCAUCUUCAGCUACUUGGAGUCAGGCUGCUGGAAGCUCACAGUUGCUUCUUCUCAUUGGGAGUUACCCUGGGUUACACCCACCUCUGGGGGCUGAACAACUGGCUAACUCAGGGACACAGCCUUGGGCAGCCUUGCCUGAAUUCCAGGGAACUCUGAAGGGCCACCCCAGCUCUGGAGCUCUCAUGGAAUCACCCGAGGCCCCAUUUGCGACUCCACUGCAGACCGGCAUCUUCCACGGCUCAGCUCUACCUCCCACACCUCCUCGCAGGCCUAUCACCCAGCAAAGACAGAAAGUAGGGCUCCUUCUACACAGGCAUGUUGGCUCAGGGGAAGGUGGGAGCCGAGCAGCAGGGCAGUACACAGGCGCAGUCGGGCGAGCGGGCCAGCUUCCGCUGCCUGAGAGACCUCAAAACCGCCCAGGCGGAGCCUCUCCCUGUCUCAACAUGGGUAACAGGAAGCGUUUGGCCUCCACCCAUCUACAUCCGGGUACUGCACCACCAGCUCUGGAACCUGGGGGGCCCCCACCCGAUGUCCAGGAGAGUUUGGAAGGUGCAAUCCAGUGACUAGAGACUCCUGGGCUGACGGUGUGAGGUAGGGGUGUUGCACUCCCUCAGAUGCUUCCAGAAAUACCUGAGGCAGCCGCCACAGGCCAGGAGAAGCCGCAGGACGCCAAGAGCCCCGGAGCCAACCCUGCUUUCAGAGGAGCACUGGGCUGAGACACCGUGCCCCCCACCCGGAGGAAGCCUAGAAAUCGUUGAGGCCAAGCCCUUGAGUGGAACCUGGCCGGUGCGGGCACCGCCUACCUCUGUAACAGACGCUGCCUCCAGCAAACUCAGGAGCUCCUCGGGGACAGGGCAGGCCUAGACUGGGCCUACUGCAUAGACGCGGCCUGCAGCAAAGCCCGAGGUGGGGUGGGCCUAGCGCUCUCCAGUUCAAAGGAGCACAGCCCAACCGUGGCCUAGACCAGAGACUCCGGAGCUGGAUCCUCACAAUGGGACCUACAAGUUGAAACUUCAAGAUGGCGAGCGGAAGCUUGGAGAGAGCGUGUCCCAUGCGAGGUGUCGGAGGCUGACCAACCCCAGCUUCAGGAGCAUGGCGCCAAACCUGAGGAGCUCCCAAGUUCAACAGCUGUAAGUAAGUGACAACCAUUCCCCCCCCCCCCGAGUCUUCUUGUGGUUAAAUACCUGUUUUUUUAAGUUUUAUCGUGGCAAAAUGCACGUAACAUAAAAUUUUACCAUUUUAACAUAAAACUUUACAACUCGGUCAGUGUUAUGAGGUACAUUGGUUGUGCAACCCUCGCCCGCCUUCUAAUUCCAGAACAUUCCAUCACACCAAAAAGAAGCCCCAGCCCCAUUAUGGUCACUUUCCAGCCCCCUCCCCAGACCCGGGCAACCACUAACCCCUCUUUCUGUCUCUGUGGAUUUGUUGUUGUGGACAUUUCACAUAAAUACAAUCACACUAGAAAAGAAAAGAAAAGAAAAGAAAAGAAAAGAAAAGAAAAGAAAAGAAAAGAAAAGAAAAGGAUGUGCAUGUCAUGCAAGGCGAUGUUUUUAUUCCGGCUUUUGCAAUAGGUAGAAUAUUCAUUAAUGAGAAACAAAAAAAGAGGACUGGAGUUUUAUAAAGGCAGGCAAUGAGUCACUUGCUUUAUAAAGGAGUAGUAUAGAUGCUGAGUGGAAGUGUACAGAUGGUUUUAUCUGGGUGAUGCAAAUAGGCCAGGCUGAGGUGGUCUUUGGUGGUCAGCCAUUUUCAGAGCAAAAAAGGGUGGUGUGGUGAUGGCCAGGUUCCUAACUGCCCUAGCCUUCUGGGAACCCCGGGCUCAGGUAAAGUUCAGCACUGUCACUUUUUUUUUUUUUAAUUUAUUUAUGAUAGUCACAUAGAUAGAGAGAGAGAGGCAGAGACACAGGCAGAGGGAGAAGCAGGCUCCAUGCACCGGGAGCCCGACGUGGGAUUCGAUCCCGGGUCUCCAGGAUUGCGCCCUGGGCCAAACGCAGGUGCCAAACCACUGUGCCACCCAGGGAUCCCAGCACUGUCACUUUAAGAACUUUCCUCAGUCAGCCUCCAAUAACUCUCCAUCUCAGAUCUGUUUCCAGAGAGCCACUCAAAAGACAGUCUGCCAUCUGGCCCUUUGGAUGAGUUUGAGCUCCUCUGGUUAAAAGAGUUUGGGCACCAGAAAUCUAUAGAAUUGUAUUUUCAUGAGAUAAUCAAUGACAUUCUGGGCAAGCAAGGGCUGAGAUUCCAGCCAAAGUCUUCAGAACUCUGUGUGCGCUGAGACUAACUGCAGGAUGAGCUGCUUCAGGGCUGUGGUGAAACCCUGAACUGAGGGCAGCCUGGGUGGUUCAGCGGUUUAGCGCCAACUUCAGCCCAGGGCAUGAUCCUGGAGACCCGGGAUUGAGUCCCACAUCGGGCUCCCUGCAUGGAGCCUGCUUCUCCCUCUGCCUGUGUCUCUGCCUCUCUCUCUCUAUGUGUCUCUCAUGAAUAAAUAAAUAAAAUCUUUAUAUAUAAAAAAAGAA